AACGUAGGAGACAACCGUUAUCCGGAGUUACUGGGCGUAAAGGGCGUGUAGGUGGUUUUGUAAGUCUGGCGUGAAAUUUUUCGGCUUAACCGGGAAAGGUCGUCGGAUACUGCAGGACUGGAGGACGGUAGAGGCGUGUGGAAUUCCGGGUGUAGUGGUGAAAUGCGUAGAGAUCCGGAGGAACACCAGUGGCGAAGGCGACACGCUGGGCCGUACCUGACACUGAUGCGCGACAGCAUGGGGAGCAAACAGG
rnacentral:rRNA from 1 species